ensembl:lncRNA
GGCAAUGCCAGAGCCUUAACCCAGUGACUGAGGCCAGGAAUCAAACCUGUGUCCUCAUGGAUCCUAGUCAGAUUCGUUUUCACUGCACCAUGACAGGAACUCCCUACCCGGUCUUAUCUUCAUUCCUCAGGGAAGAGCAAGGCAUGGUCGAUGGAAAAAGAAAAAUAUUCAGUUAAGCUGUAAUAUGUCACAGCUUCAGCAUAAGUUUUUGCAUUAAAAUAUUCACAAGUAGCAGAGAUUUUUGUAGAAAGAAUAACUGGAUACAACAUCUUGCAGGAGACCAGACUAAAUGUGUCUCAUGGCAUCACUCUGGAGGGGAGGCUGCCAGGAGCUGCACAAGGACCAGGACCACAGCUAAAUGCCUCAGAGGAGGGCUGGGCCUGUGGCUUGAGGCAUGGCUCCUGGGCCCUUUGCUCUGAGAAGGAAGGCUUUGUUGGCUUCCUGGCCUAUGGAAAAAUUAUCUCUGUAGGACAGUCUGAUCUGGGGAGAUUCCUUCUUUCUGCCCAUCCUUCUGGUUUCCCCUGAGUGUCCUCCUGAGCACCAGCAGAUCUUUAAUUAAUCUGCUUCCAGUGGGAGUGGAGGGAAGGGAUCCUGACAGCCACAUGACACCUUCUUGGAGGAUCCCUGCCAAGCCUGGAACAUGAGAGAUUCCAAAGUCCCUGUUGUAAAAUUCCAGAUUCUACCACAGGGAAAAAGGCAGAAGUGCCCAGUAUAAGCACAGAAAGUGUCUCAGAAGUAUAGACCUGCACACUUUGUACACAAACAGGCCUGAGCCCACAUACAGUACUAUAGACACAAGCCCCUAUACAAACGGACACCCCAUCUGCUGAGCUGUGAGUGUGCAUGCACACAGGAUGGGGGCCUCUGGUAGGUCUGAAGAUGCGCGGGCUCUUCCACCCUCUGUUGCCUGACUUCUGCUCUCUGACUUCCUUCACUUUUCUUCCUGGGUCAGCUAGUGCCUGGCCUGGGAUGGCUGCCUUUAGACAGAGUUGGGCUGCCUGAGCGCUGUCCUCGGUGCUGGAGGCCUGGUGGUACAGGCGUGUUUGAGAAAAGCUGGUGUUGGAGGAGGUCACCUUGAAAUCCAGGUGUAGAUGUACACUGGGUCCCACCAGAAUAACUACACAUAUUCGCUCAGAAAAAUGUGCAAUUGGGCUUCCUCUUUUCAAUUCCAGACACUGAAUCAGAAGGUGUUCUCCUGAAAUCAAAUUCCCUUAUCAGGUUUGUGAUUAAUCUCUCCAUCCAAAACUUCAUUCCCUUUCUUGUUCCCUCUAACCUCAAUCUUGUGCUAACUGAACAGUAAUCAACCAGAGUCAGACAACUAAAAGUUCCGAUGUCCAUAACAUCAUUAAUGUACAAAAAACUCUUACAGGUAUUAUUAAUGUACAAACUCAGGUUGUUUCUCCAAGACAAGAUAAGCUAACAGACCCCCAAGGCAUGGAUCAUCUGGCCAGAGAAUCAUAAACCAGAGACCUCCUGACUCUGUCACAAGAUAAUGAUUAAUUCCAACAUCUUUGUUCUUCCUCUUAAAACAAAACUCCUAAUUCAGAGACCAGGUUGGAAUGGACCUGAGGCUUAUCUCCCUUGCUUGGCACCUUGCAAUAAAUGCUGUGCCUUCCUUCACCGUAACCUGGAGUCAGCAGAUUGGUUUUGGUGCAUGUUGUGGCAAAUCAGUAGCAGUUUUGGCAGCCACAAGGGGACCACCAUCGUGUGUGGGCAUUUCACCCAUGGCACAUCAGGCCCUGGCCGGUGGUGGCUUUCAGAUCCCAUCCAGCAGUGCCUGAGCACUUCUGUUUCACGAAAGCCCCAAGAGCUUGCUGCUGACCAGAUGUGGUUGGUCCAUGGAGCUCUCAAUUUUGUGAUGAGAGAAACAAGACAUUAGCUUGCUGAGAUGUCUCUAGCAAGUAGUGGAGGUCAUAUGUGACAGUAGCAGGGUAUUUUUCCCUCUUGCAUUUGGCUUUGUCUUUUGCAGGGCAUUGGUUGGGGAAGUGUGACCCUGAGAGACCGUUUUGCAUUAGUUUGUUGGUUUGCUUGAUAUAUGACAACAUUGACCAUGAAAAAUUAAUAAUGGAAUCAGAGUUCUUUUUCGUCUUGUAGCCCCUUAGGGUGUAUUUUGCUGAACUGGGAAAUUUCUAGUUAUGCACCUAUGAAACACUAAAAAUUCUAUUUUAUUGUAACACUGCCUUGACUUCAGUACUCCUUAAAAUCAGGAGUACAGUGGCCCUUAAUGGCUCUCUAAAUUGUAAUACUCUCUAUCAACUGAACUGUUUUGUAAAAGGGAAGGAAAAUGUGAUGAAAUUCCUUAUGUAUAGGCUUUUAUGCAAUUGUGUUGCAGUGAGCCUUUGGAACUGGCUUGGGUUUGGGCCUUUUGAAAUUGGUUUGGUUUUUGUCUUGUGUAUGUAUGUAGUAUGUAUUCAUGUUAAAGAAAGUACACUAUUAUAAUCAGCAGAUACAGGCAACAAAAGUUCAGUUCCUAAAAAUAGCCCUUUAUGAUGCAUCCUAAAAAAAAUUAGACCAUCUCUAGUUAUGAUUCUGUGACUAAAGCCAAAAAUACGUACAUAAUACACACAUAUAUACAUAUACCCAUAUUAUAAACAUAUGUGACAUUGCAUGAUCACAAUAUUCUUCAGACUCUGGAGGAAAAUGGCCAAGAUUAGGCUCUUUUGACAAUCCCAAACUGGUUUUGCUGGUUUGAUAAAACAUCUUUUCAAAAUUUUUACCCUAAGCGAACAAGUUCUUCUAGGAGGAACUUGCUUUUCUAUCCCUGUGCCUUUGAGCUGUAAAUGUUCUAAUGGGGUCUCAGGAACUCAUUUCUGUCUCACAUAGGCCAUCUUCAAUUCCUGAAACUGAAGGGAAAAAAAAGAUCGUUUGAAACUUGACUUAUUCCAACUGUUUUUUAUUUAUAAUAAAUAAAACUCUUGUAAUAUCUGAUUCGUGACUAAGUUUUUGGUUUUAUUUAUUUAUUUAUUUAUCUUUUUAGGGCCACAUCCAUGGCGUAUGGAGGUUCCCAGUCUAGAGAUCCAAUUGGAGCUACAGUUGUUGGGCUACACCACAACCACAGCAACCUCGGGAUCCAAGCCUCAUCUUCGAUCUACACCACAGUUCACGGCAACACCAGAUCCUUAACCCACUGAGUGAGGCGAGGGAUUGAACCUGCAACCUCAUGGUUCCUAGUUGGAUUCGUUUCUGCUCUAUCAACAUUAUAAUACUUUCAUUGAGAGUUCCCACUGUGGCCUAACAGGAUUUGGGCCAUCUCUGUAGCACUAGGACACAGGUUUGAUCCCUGGCCUGGCACAGUGCAAUAAGGGUCUGGUGUUGCCACAGCUACAACUCAGAUCUGAUACCUGGCUUGGGAACUCCAUAUGCUGUGGGGUAAUCAAAAAUGAAAAUGACAAACAAACAAAAAAAACUUUUAUUGUACCUAGGUUUACUAGGAGUCAAAUAAGAUCUUAUACCAGUUACAAAAUUCAUCAGCAAGUAAGUAACUUGGUAUGAUGAAAGUUUUAUAAGUAAAUUAAAUCUAAAUGAGAUAAAAAUUUUGGGUAAACACUCAGGAAUAAUUAUGUUUUAGGAAUGUCUACUUAAAAAUAAUCUCUCUAGGAGUUCCUGUUGUGGCACAGCGGAAACGAAUCCAGCUAGGAACCAUGAGGUUGUGUGUUUGCUACCUGGCCUUGCUCAGUGGGUUAAGGAUCCAGCGUUGCUGUGGCUGUGGUGUAGGCUGGCAGCUGUAGCUCCAAUUUGACCUCUAGCCUGGGAACCUCCAUAUGCCUUGGGUGUGGCCAUAAAACAAAACAAAACAAAACAAAAAAAGCAAAAAAAAUCUCUCCAAGGAGUUCCCAUUGUAGCUCAGUGGGUUAAGAACCUGACAUAGUAUCUGUUAGGAUGCCAGUUCAGUGCCUGGCCUCCCUCAGUGGGUUUGGGAUCCAGCAUUGCAGCAAGCUGCAGUGUAGGCCGAAGAUGGGGCUUGGAUCCAGUGGGCAACUGCAGCUCCAAUUCAACCCCUGGCCUGGGAAUUUCCUUGUGCUGCAGGUGUGGGCUUAAAAAGAAAACAAAAAAUAGUCUCUCCAGAUUUUGGUGAUUUGAAACUUUAUUUAUUUAAAUUUAUCUCUUUAUUUUCAGAUGUAAUUUAAAAAAAUUUUUCUUUAUAGUUGAUUUGCAGUGUUCUGUCAAUUUCUGCUGUACAGCAAAUUGACCUAGUUAUACAUACAUAUAUAUAUACAUUUUUCUUCUCACAUUGUCUUCCAUAUGUUCCAUCACAAGUGAUUAGAUAUAAUUUCCUGUGCUACACAGCAGUUGAAACUUUAAAAUUUUGCUAAAUUAAGUGAUGGAAGUUUUUAAAAUAUUUAGGUCAUUCCCAAAUAAAAUAAGAUGCUGAAACAUUAAUUGCUGAACAUAGGCUUCCUUUCACAGAGACACUAAAGCUAUUUAGAACUAUUAAUAAAUAUAUUUGUGUCACAUGAAGAAAUUUUGAUAACUAAGCAAUGUCUUUAGAAAAUACAAAUAAUAUUUAUAAAUUUACCAAUCUACAGAAUGCUAAGAUAAGACAGUUCAUUAUUGCUCGCUUUUUAAAAUUUUCUCUCAUUUUUUUUCUACUGUACACCAUGGUGACCCAGUUACACAUACAUGUAUACAUUCUUUUUUCUCACAUUAUCAUUUUCCAUCAUA